UAAGGCGCGAUAUCGUACUUUUUGUAGAACGGUCCAGCGAGUUAUUGUAUAUGGCGAGGUUAAGUUCUGAAUAAGGAAUGGAGCCGAAGAGAAAUCGAGUCUGAAUAGGGCGAUAUAAGUCAUAUAUAAUAGACCCGAAACCGGGUGACCUAUCCAUGGUCAGGAUGAAGCUGAAGUAAAAUUCAGUGGAGGUCCGAACUGAUUGUCGUUAAAAAGGCACCGGAUGAACUGUGGAUAGCGGAGAAAUUCCAAUCGAACUCGGAGAUAGCUGGUUCUCCUCGAAAUAGCUUUAGGGCUAGCCUUGAGGUAAAAGAAUUAUGGGGGUAGAGCACUGAAUGAGGUAGGGGCCAAACCAGGUUACUGAACUCUAUCAAACUGCGAAUACCAUAAUUAGAAUACUCAGGAGUCAGACUGCGGGAGCUAAGUUCCGUGGUCAAAAGGGAAAGAGCCCAGACCGACAAUUAAGGUCCCAAAGAUAUAGUUAAGUGGAAAACGAUGUGAAUUUGCAUAAACAACCAGGAUGUUGGCUCAGAAGCAGCCACUCAUUCAAAGAGUGCGUAACAGCUCACUGGUCGAGUGAAUUUGCGCGGAAAAUUACCGGGGCUAAACUAUACACCGAAAUUUCGGAUUUACGUAUGAAAAUAUGUAAGUGGUAGAGGAGCAUUCUGUAGUAGGACGAAGUCAAAGCGAAAGCAUUGGUGGACGAGGCAGAAGAGAGAAUGCUGGAAUAAGUAGCGAGAGCAAGGUGAGAAUCCUUGCCGUCGAAAGUCUAAGGUUUCCUGGGGAAGGUUCGUCCGCCCAGGGUAAGUCGGGGCCUAAGGAGAGGCCGAAAGGCGUAUCUGAUGGAUAGCAGGUGGAGAUUCCUGCACUAUAGCUAGUUUUAAAAGAUGCAAGGGACGCAGUAGAGGAAGAUAACCAAGGAAGAGGAAAGACUUGGUCCGCAAGGGAUAGUGAAAAUUAAUAGUAACGAAAUAUCAAGAAUCACACUGACGAGAAAAGCUUGUAGAUAUUAACUAGAAAUACCCGUACCGCAAACCGACACAGGUAGAUGAGGAGAGGAUCCUAAGACGAGCGGGAGAAGCAUUGUUAAGGAACUCGGCAAAAUAACCCCGUAACUUCGGGAGAAGGGGAACCUAAGUAAAAUUAGGUCGCAGAGAAAAGGCCCAAGCAACUGUUUAACAAAAACACAGGUUUCUGCAAAAUCGAAAGAUGAAGUAUAGGAGCUGACGCCUGCCCAGUGCUGGAAGGUUAAGGGAAAGAGUUAGACGUAAGUCGAAGCUUAGAACUAAAGCCCCAGUGAACGGCGGCCGUAACUAUAACGGUCCUAAGGUAGCGAAAUUCCUUGUCAGGUAAGUUCUGACCCGCACGAAAGGCGUAAUGAUUUGGGCACUGUCUCGACAAUGUACCCGGCGAAAUUGUAGUACUAGUGAAGAUGCUAGUUACCUGCGACAAGACAGAAAGACCCCAUGGAGCUUUACUGCAGUUUGAUACUGGGUUUCGAUAAGUUAUGUACAGGAUAGGUGGGAGACAAAGAAAGAAAGGCGUCAGCUUUUCCGGAGUCACCGUUGGGAUACCACCCUUAAUUUGUUGGAAUUCUAACUAGUGGUCAUGAUCUGGCCAGAGGACAAUGUCAGACGGGCAGUUUGACUGGGGCGGUCGCCUCCAAAAGAGUAACGGAGGCGCCCAAAGGUUCCCUCAGUGCGGACAGAAAUCGCACGAAAGAGUGUAAAGGCAGAAGGGAGCUUAACUGGAAGAUAGACAUAUCGAGCAGAUACGAAAGUAGGGCUUAGUGAUCCGGUGGAUAUUGAAUGGAAAAGCCAUCGCUCAACGGACAAAAGUUACCCUGGGGAUAACAGGCUUAUCUCCCCCAAGAGUUCACAUCGACGGGGAGGUUUGGCACCUCGAUGUCGGCUCAUCGCAUCCUGGAGCUGUAGUCGGUUCCAAGGGUUGGGCUGUUCGCCCAUUAAAGCGGUACGCGAGCUGGGUUCAGAACGUCGUGAGACAGUUCGGUCCUUAUCUGUCGCAGGCGGAAGAUAUUUGAGAGGAGCUGUCCUUAGUACGAGAGGACCAGGAUGGACAUACCGAUGGUGUAUCAGUUGUCACACCAGUGGCACGGCUGAGUAGCCAAGUAUGGACGGGAUAAACGCUGAAAGCAUCUAAGUGUGAAGCCCACCUCAAGAUAAGAUAUCUCAUAUCGU
rnacentral:rRNA from 1 species